CCCUUAGAUGUUCUGGGCAGCACGUGCGCUACAAUGGUCUUCGCAAACGGAUGCAUUCUCGAAGGAGAAUGCCAAUCUUGGAAUCUAUGCCUUGGUCGGGACAGUUGCUUGCAAUUUUUCGACUCGAACCAGGAAUUCCUUGUAAUCGUGAUUCAUCACAUCACGAUGAAUACGUCCCUGCCCUUUGUACACACCGCCCGUCGCUCCUACCGAUCGAAGAGUUAGGUGAAUUGUUUUGAUCGAUAAGAUUUGACUAUGGUCAACUCUCGUUGUGAAAUUCUGUGAGUCUGACUGUUUAGAGGAAGGAAAAGUCGUAACA
rnacentral:rRNA from 1 species